UCAGAAUCAAGAGACUCAACUGGACCUCCUCAGGAGACCCGGAGAAGGCAGAAUCCUCUGCGAGUAUCACCACAGCUGCUACGGGCUCUGGGAGUCUCCCCUGAAUGUGACCCUGCAGUGGCAGUGAGGACUGACUGCCCGUGGAGCUUCUGGACAGCAUGAGCUCAGCUUGCUUGGCAUCAGGGACCAGUUGUGCUCAGUGAAGAUGCUGGGUUCACCUGAGCGGAGGUCCAGAGGCAGCAAACUCCUCAUGCUCCAGGGCCAGGAUCAGGCUGCCAGACCAGCCACGUGGAAGGCGCUGGUGAGCCACGGGUGGGUCCAUCUCCAUCUGCUGAGCUUCCUCCCACGCCUUCUAGCACUGUAGCAGAGGUGAUGACUUCUUCAGUGGGGGGCAACUUUCAGAGACAAUGUACCUGCGAACUGAGCAUGGCCUUAUUUGGGUCCAAGAAGAUGUAAUAUAAUUCCGAUAGGCUCA